AGAAUGAACGUUGGCGGCGUGGAUUAGGCAUGCAAGUCGAACGGGUUUGGUAGCAAUACCAGACCAGUGGCGUAAGGGUGAGUAAGGCGACGGCAACCAACCCCAUGGUUGGGCAUAGCCGCGGGAAACUGCGGGUAAUUCCCAGCGAUGUUCGUACCGGGCAUCCGGUGUGAACCAAAGUUCUGGCGCCGUGGGACGGGCCGUCGUGGUAUUAGGUAGUUGGCGGGGUAAUGGCCCACCAAGCCUCUGAUGCCUACCGGGCGUGCGAGCGUGGCCCGGCACACUGGGACUGAGACACUGCCCAGACUCCUACGGGAGGCUGCAGUGGGGAAUCUUGCACAAUGGGCGAAAGCCUGAUGCAGCAACGCCGCGUGAGGGACGAAGGCUUUCUGAGUUGUAAACCUCUUUCAGCAGGGACGAUUGUGACGGUACCUGCAGAAGAAGCCCCGGCAACUACGUGCCAGCAGCCGC
rnacentral:rRNA from 1 species